rnacentral:rRNA from 1 species
AGCAGUAGCCGCGGGAAUACGGAGGGUGCAAGCGUUAUCCGGAUUUAUUGGGUUUAAAGGGUCCGUAGGCGGAUCUGUAAGUCAGUGGUGAAAUCUCACAGCUUAACUGUGAAACUGCCAUUGAUACUGCAGGUCUUGAGUAAAUUUGAAGUGGCUGGAAUAAGUAGUGUAGCGGUGAAAUGCAUAGAUAUUACUUAGAACACCAAUUGCGAAGGCAGGUCACUAAGAUUUAACUGACGCUGAUGGACGAAAGCGUGGGGAGCGAACAGGAUUAGAUACCCCCGUAGUCCCUGUCUCUUAUAC